rnacentral:rRNA from 1 species
CAAUAGCGUAUAUUAAAGUUGUUGCAGUUAAAAAGCUCGUAGUUGGAUUUCUGGUAGGAGUGACCGUUCCGAACUUGAUUGUUCGUGUAUUGUGUUUUCUCCAGCCAUCCUUGUGGAGAACUUUUCUUGCAUUAAUUUGUAGGGAUUGGGACCCGCAUCGUUUACUGUGAAAAAAUUAGAGUGUUAAAAGCAGGCAAUCGCUUGAAUACAUUAGCAUGGAAUAAUAAGAUAGGACUUUGGUACUAUUUUGUUGGUUUGCAUACCAAAUUAAUGAUCAACAGGAACAGUUUGAGGAUAUUCGUAUGAACAUGUCAGAGGUGAAAUUCUUGGAUUUUGAUCAGACGAACUACUGCGAAAGCAUUUAUCAAGGAUGUUCUCAUUAA